UCCCCAGUAGCUCAGUUGGUAGAGCAAGCGACUGUUAAUCGCUUUGUCGCUGGUUCGAGUCCGGCCUGGGGAGCCA
rnacentral:tRNA from 1 species